UACGUACGAGGCGAGCGUUAUCCGGAAUUACUGGGCGUAAAGCGCGCGCAGGCGGCUUGAGAAGUAGGGCGUGAAAUCUCCCGGCCUAACUGGGAGGGGUCGUUCUAAACUGACAGGCUUGAGGAUGGCAGAGGUCGGUGGAAUUCCUGGUGUAGUGGUGAAAUGCGUAGAGAUCAGGAGGAACACCGGUGGCGAAGGCGGCCGACUGGGCCAUAACUGACGCUGAGGCGCGAAAGCUCGGGGAGCGAACGGG
rnacentral:rRNA from 1 species